AUGAAAGUGGUCCUCCACCAUUCCUCACAAAGACUUAUGACAUAGUUGAUGAUGUUUCCACUGAUGACAUAGUUUCAUGGAGCAGAGAAAACAACAGCUUCGUUGUGUGGGAUCCUCAAGCUUUUUCCAUCACUCUUCUCCCCAAAUACUUCAAACACAACAACUUCUCCAGCUUUGUCAGACAGCUCAAUACCUAUGUAUGUAUAUUACUCUCUAUAUAUAUAUAUGCAUGCUUAUACUACAUACACAGCAUGAUCCACUUGGACACAUCAACUAGAUAUAUAAGUGUGUCUCAUAAAUCUCAUAAGCUAAUUUUAUAUAAGUUAAUAUGAGGUUUAGUUAAACUUAAACUCUAUUUUAUUAAUUUGAUUUUUAAAGAAUGGGCAAGAAUGAUGUCUGUACAAACAUAACAGUUUUGUGUUGAUCAAAUGGUGUUUUAUUUUGAUCCAUAUGAAAAAUGAGACUAUCAUGUCAUAUGCAUUCAUGUUGAAAUGAUGAAUCUGUGCCAUUUUGAACUGAGAGUUGCUUGCAUUGUGAUUAAAUGAAAUUGUAUGACAUUAUGAAUAACUGCAAUGUAUAUAUUCUUUUGUGUAUAAAUAUGAAUGUGUUAUUAGUAAUUUGUUUCUGUCUUCGUUUGCUGAUUGUGUAUUAUAGUUGGUAAAUUUGAUUGGUGUUUGGUAUAAUUUUAUUUGCUGACCUUCCUUUCCUGUUCUCUUUCUGUUUGUUUAAUGUCUUGAAAGGGAGAAGUACAAAGAUUGCGUAACACAUUAUAAUUGUUGACAUGUUCCAUUUGAGCUGUAACUUUGAUCUUCUUUGAUUGAAGGGUUUCUUAAGAUAUGGCUGUCACAAUUCAUUGUUACCAACAUAGUGAGAUUUUAUGGAUUUGAAUAGAAGGAACUUGGUGUUGUUGUAGGG
rnacentral:lncRNA from 1 species